rnacentral:rRNA from 1 species
CGGAUUGUAGUCUGCAACUCGACUACAUGAAGCUGGAAUCGCUAGUAAUCGCGAAUCAGAAUGUCGCGGUGAAUACGUUCCCGGGUCUUGUACACACCGCCCGUCACACCAUGGGAGUCAGCAACGCCCGAAGCCGGUGACCCAACCGAUAAGGAGGGAGCCGUCGAAGGUGGGACCGAUAACUGGGGUGAAGUCGUAACAAGGUAAC